AUUGAACGCUGGCGGCAGGCCUAACACAUGCAAGUCGAACGAGUGGCGGACGUGUGAGUAAUGUCUGGGACACUGCCCGCUGGUGGGGGAAAACUACUGGAAACGGUAGCUAAUACCGCAUACCAUCGGAUGUGCCCAUAUGGGAGUAGCUAGUAGGUGGGGUAACGGCUCCACUAGGCGACGAUCCCUAGCUGGUCUGAGAGGAUGACCAGCCACACUGGAACGUAGACACGGUCCAGACGCCGACGGGAGGAAGCAGUGGGGAAUAUUGCAGAAUGGGCGAAAGCCGGAUGCAGCCAUGCCGCGUGUAUGAAGAAGGCCUUCGGGUUGUAAAGUAGUGUCAGCGGGGAGGCGUUAGCCGGAGAAGAAGCACCGGCUAACUCCGUGCCAGCAGCCGCGGUAAUUC
rnacentral:rRNA from 1 species